GGGGCGGGAGCGGCCGGGGUC
rnacentral:miRNA from 1 species